UGCCUUGAAGCCCCUUCUCUUCUCAAACUCUCUCAAAAUUUCUCAAAGGUUCUUGAACCCUAGCCUCUCUCACCAUCUUCAACCACAACCACCCCGGAAUGCAAGGAUUCUCCGGCCAUGGAUGGCUUGAACCCAUCUCUCUCUGCUCUCAAACACUUGGUGUUCGAAGUUUCGAGGUUUGACCUUGAUGGUGUCUGUUUAGACCUUCUCCAUUCCAACGUUCUAUGGCCUCUCUGGCCUUGCUCCGGCGUAUUCAAGCAUUAUGAGCUUAUCUCUGACCUCUCCG
rnacentral:lncRNA from 1 species